UACGGAGGGAGCUAGCGUUGUUCGGAAUUACUGGGCGUAAAGCGCGCGUAGGCGGCUUUUCAAGUCGAUUGUGAAAUCCCCGGGCUUAACCUGGGAACUGCAGUCGAGACUGUCUAGCUAGAGUAUGGGAGAGGGAAGUGGAAUUUCAGGUGUAGCGGUGAAAUGCGUAGAUAUCAUUUGGAACGCCAAUGGUGAAAACAGCUGACUGGGAGUGUGCUGACGCUGAGACACGAAAGCCAGGGGAGCGAACGGG
rnacentral:rRNA from 1 species